UGAGGAAUAUUGGUCAAUGGGCGUAAGCCUGAACCAGCCAAGUCGCGUGAGGGAUGACUGUCCUAUGGAUUGUAAACCUCUUUUAUUCGGGAAGAAUAAGUGUUACGUGUAACACGAUGCCUGUACCGAAUGAAUAAGCAUCGGCUAACUCCGUGCCAGCAGCCGCGGUAAUACGAAGGGGGCAAGCGUUGUUCGGAAUUACUGGGCGUAAAGCGCACGCAGGCGGCGUGACGCGUCAGAAGUGAAAUCCCCGGGCUCAACCUGGGAACUGCUUUUGAAACGGUCAUGCUUGAAUCAUGGAGAGGGUAGCGGAAUCCCGAGUGUAGAGGUGAAAUUCGUAGAUAUUCGGAAGAACACCGGUGGCGAAGGCGGCUACCUGGCCAUGUAUUGACGCUCAGGUGCGAAAGCGUGGGGAGCAAACA
rnacentral:rRNA from 1 species